rnacentral:piRNA from 1 species
UUGGCAUGUUAUUUUGUUUAU